GACGAACGCUGGCGGCGUGCCUAAUACAUGCAAGUCGAGCGGAUCUUCAUUAGCUUGCUUUUGAAGAUCAGCGGCGGACGGGUGAGUAACACGUGGGCAACCUGCCUGUAAGACUGGGAUAACUUCGGGAAACCGGAGCUAAUACCGGAUAAUCCUUUUCCUCUCAUGAGGAAAAGCUGAAAGACGGUUUCGGCUGUCACUUACAGAUGGGCCCGCGGCGCAUUAGCUAUUUGGUGAGGUAACGGCUCACCAAGGCGACGAUGCGGAGCCGACCUGAGAGGGUGAUCGGCCACACUGGGACUGAGACACGGCCCAGACUCCUACGGGAGGCAGCAGUGGGGAAUCUUCCGCAAUGGACGAAAGUCUGACGGAGCAACGCCGCGUGAGCGAUGAAGGCCUUCGGGUCGUAAAGCUCUGUUGUCAGGGAAGAACAAGUAUCGGAGUAACUGCCGGUACCUUGACGGUACCUGACCAGAAAGCCACGGCUAACUACGUGCCAGCCGCCGCCGUAA
rnacentral:rRNA from 1 species